CCUGUUGUGGUCUCCAAGCUCCUGGUCCGAGAGCAGAGCUGUGGCCUCAAGGAGCCAGGCUGGGAAGCUGGACGAUGCGACAGAGUGAGCGCGCUGGGCACUUCCUGGGAACCAGGAGAGGUGCACAGCAGCAGAAAGAGCGAUGGAGGAAGAGGUUCAGAAGUGGGGUCUCGCUUGGCCUGAGAGCCUGGAGGCGGCAAGAAAAGCCAUUCCUCCUAGCGCCCACCACACUGAACUCAGAAUGGGGGAAAAGAAAGAUGAGUGUGGGGAGAGCGGGUCCCGACUGGACAGUAGUUUCUACGGGAAGAAGCUCCCAAGCCAUUUCACUUUUGCUGUACUUGGAAAUGUUGGGACCGCUGGGAGAGGAGGUCGGGGUAAGAGUGAAGGGGAACUACACCUGGUCAGAAAUCCUGCUUGGACAAGGGGACCUGGGUCUGCAGGAAUUGUGUCCUAAGUAAGGUAGAUUCUACAAUGCAGUGAGAGGAGAGAAUCUGUCUGAGAAUCAUCAAUCAUCUCACUGACUGCUUCCCAAGACUCUUGUGAGGGGACAGACAGCUCUGGGGGCAAAUGGGCCUGUGAGAUGUAGCCCUUGGAUUAAGAGCCUGGGGAAGAUGAGCCAGAAGAAGCAGAGUGGCUGCCAGCAGUCUGCAGUCACUGCCACCAUCCAAGGGCUGGGGGAGGAGCAGCUUACCAAGAACCCAAAAGAUGAGGUUCCUCCUAAAGCACAGGAGGUCUCAUCAUGGUCAGUGUAACCCAGUAGAGCCCCCACUCUAUGGAAAGCCUGGGCGGUGACAAAAGUAAUCAAAUGAUCAAUUAGAAGGAACAGAGAGACAGCUUAUGAC